GUCUGCAGGCCUCCGACUUUUCAUGGAGGUAGGGAAGGCAAAUGGAGGCUUGCUUUGGCUCAUCAUGUUUUGGUGAUUGUUUAGUUACCUUGAUGGCCGGGUCCUACGAGAGUGUACUCAGCUAAAGAAGAAUGUACAUGUAUUGAGACUCCAGAACAUACAGCUGUGGAAGGAGCAGAUUGAACUGCAAGAGACCUGUGAGGAGGUGAAAUAGCUCUUGAAGGAGGCCCAUGAGAAGAUCUGUGACUCCUGUGCUGAGCAGCAGCAGGAGCAAGAGAGCCUGGAUGGAAGACUGAAGGACCUGCUGAAGCAGAAGGAGCUGGUCACCGUGCAAAGGGACUUGGCAGAAAAGCUGCAACAUCACUUCAGGGUCUCUGAGAUAAGGUCAGAAAAUCUCCAGGCUGAGCUGAACAUGUCACAGCCCAGGAUGAGAGCCUCCUGCAGACAGAGCUGCUGGAGCAGGAGCAGGAAGUAUCACAG